rnacentral:piRNA from 1 species
UUCCAGCACCUUCACUCGGCCUGUUU